GACGGACUCUUUCUUUUUUAUGAACUAAAUAUUGUGUAGAUGCGCGACUGUGGAGCGGGUUUCAUUUUCUAAAGGACUUUUCGUGGUUCACCUUGCGGCCUACAUGUCCGUUAGGUCCCCAUCUACAGAGAACCGCCCGUCGCUCGAGGGAAGUGAAGAAGAGGUCGGUACCUCUCUGUAAAGGCCGUCUGGUGUAGAGCUGCUGGACUCGGUCUGCGAAGACCUGAAGACCUGAACCCGCAUGUCGGUCUAGUUAGGAAGCAGAGUCCGAUUGUGUUCCAGGCCACAUGGUCCACCUCUACUCUAGUACCCUGAAUGUGAUGAUUGUUGGGUUCCUUUACCGUUUCUAUUCUUUGCAUGUCCUCAUAGCUCGCUGUUCCCGUCCUAUUCUAAGAGCCAGGAUCCAGUCGACCGAUUGAACGUAGAGGACUACGACGACAGGCGGCGCCCGCCGGUGUGGCCCGAAGCAUCCAGCCUGAACCGUCCGUGGACAAAGUCCCGCCGCCGCCCACCUGCCUCUGGUCUCCUGAAGCGAGACGGAGAAAAUGAUCAUCCGUCUCCACAGUGACUGAGUCAAGAACAUAUCUGAAAACAUCUUUUGAAGCGAAUUAAUGAAAAUGAAAUAAAUUGUUCACCUUA